CUUUCUUUGCUGGCGACCGGCGCACGGGUGAGUAACACGUAUCCAACCUGCCCUUUACUCGGGGAUAGCCUUUCGAAAGAAAGAUUAAUACCCGAUGGUAUAAUCAGACCGCAUGGUCUUGUUAUUAAAGAAUUUCGGUUAUCGAUGGGGAUGCGUUCCAUUAGGCAGUUGGUGAGGUAACGGCUCACCAAACCUUCGAUGGAUAGGGGUUCUGAGAGGAAGGUCCCCCACAUUGGAACUGAGACACGGUCCAA
rnacentral:rRNA from 1 species